rnacentral:rRNA from 1 species
AGUGAACGCUGGCGGUAGGCCUAACACAUGCAAGUCGAACGGCAGCACAGGAGAGCUUGCUCUCUGGGUGGCGAGUGGCGGACGGGUGAGGAAUACAUCGGAAUCUACUCUGUCUGGGGGGAUAACGUAGGGAAACUUACGCUAAUACCGCAUACGACCUACGGGUGAAAGCAGGGGACCUUCGGGCCUUGCGCGAUUGAAUGAGCCGAUGUCGGAUUAGCUAGUUGGCGGGGUAAAGGCCCACCAAGGCGACGAUCCGUAGCUGGUCUGAGAGGAUGAUCAGCCACACUGGAACUGAGACACGGUCCGGACUCCUACGGGAGGCAGCAGUGGGGAAUAUUGGACAAUGGGCGCAAGCCUGAUCCAGCCAUACCGCGUGGGUGAAGAAGGCCUUCGGGUUGUAAAGCCCUUUUGUUGGGAAAGAAAUCCAGCUGGCUAAUACCCGGUUGGGAUGACGGUACCCAAAGAAUAAGCACCGGCUAACUUCGUGCCAGCCGCCGCCGUAA